rnacentral:rRNA from 1 species
AUCUAUGGCCAUACCACCCUGAACACGCCCAAUCUCAUCUGAUCUCGUAAGCUAAGCAGGGUUGGGCCUGGUUAGUACUUGGAAGGGAGUAAAGAAAGAGGCAUCAAGAAAU